rnacentral:lncRNA from 1 species
CUGCACUGGUGGCAAUUAGCGGGGAGAGCAGUGGGGCAGGUCGAUGUCCUGGAGAGAGCUCGCUGUCCCCUGGGAGCCCCUCCGGAGCAGGAGCAGAGCUGCUGGCAUUGCUGUCCCCUGGAAUUCCCUCCGGAGCAGGAGCAGAGCUGCUGGCAUUGCUGUCCCGUGGAAUUCCCUCCGGAGCAGGAGCAGGGCUGCUGGCAUUGCUGUCCCCUGGAAUUCCCUCCGGAGCAGGAGCAGGGCUGCUGGCAUUGCUGUCCCCUGGAAUUCCCUCCGGAGCAGGAGCAGGGCUGCUGGCUCUCACUGUCCUGUGGAAUUCCCUCCGGAGCAGGAGCAGAGCUGCUGGCUCUCACUGUCCCAUGGAAUUCCCUCCGGAGCAGGAGCAGGGCUGCUGGCUCUCACUGUCCUGUGGAAUUCCCUCCGGAGCAGGAGCAGAGCUGCUGGCUCUCACUGUCCCAUGGAAUUCAUUCGUAGCAGGGCUGCNNNNNNNNNNUGUCCCAUGGAAUUCAUUCGUAGCAGGGCUGCUGGCUCUCACUGUCCUGUGGAAUUCCCUCUGGAGCAGAGCUGCUGGCAGUCACUGUCCCGUGGAAUUCCCUCCGGAGCAGGAGCAGGGCUGCUGGCUCUCACUGUCCCGUGGAAUUCCCUCCGGAGCAGAGCUGCUGGCUCUGUUCUGCUGGCUCACGCCAGGAGUGACUCACUUGCUUCAACUUCCCAAACCGCUGAGGGUCCCAGAGCUCACGCAGCACAGGCUGGAAACAGGAAGGUCCGAAGAGAAAACAGAUUUCACACAAACUGCAGGACAGAUUGACACCCAGGUGCCCCGAGCAGCGGGGCUGCCCCUGCAUCCCUGGCAGUGCCCCUGGCCAGGCUCGGGGCAGAGGGAGCUGGUGGAUGUGGAUGAGCUUUCUCCGUGCUUUCUCGGCUGCUGGAAGCUUUCAGGACCCCCAAGGGGUCUGGGGUGGGUGACAGAUCCCGUGGGUCCUCCCAGGCUCAGUGGGUGUUCCCAGGGUGAUGGGAAUCUGCCUGGCCAGCUUUAAUGAAGAUAUCCCUCAUCUUGGGGAUCUAAUUUACUGACUGUCACUGUUAAUGAAAUCUCUCCGAGUAAAACUCGGGCUUUGACACUCCCACGGACAGAGACAGAAUCCAUUUCAGGUGAGCACAGAAAUUCAGCCUGUGAGGUACCUGUGACUGUCA